rnacentral:rRNA from 1 species
UAGGGAAUCUUCGGCAAUGGGGGCAACCCUGACCGAGCAACGCCGCGUGAGUGAAGAAGGUUUUCGGAUCGUAAAGCUCUGUUGUAAGAGAAGAACGUGUGUGAGAGUGGAAAGUUCACACAGUGACGGUAACUUACCAGAAAGGGACGGCUAAACUACGUGCCA